UUGCACGUAGCCUCCCGGGCUGCUCCGAAUCUAUAUUAAAUGAAGAAGAUUGCCCCAAAGCUCGUGCUAAAACGUCGCCGUUCAGUGUUGCAGUUCAGCCUCAUGUACCUAAUUUCAUCCCAGGGCUGAAUCUGUGUCAAAGCAACGGCUAUAUUU